rnacentral:rRNA from 1 species
GACGAACGCUGGCGGCGUGCUUAACACAUGCAAGUCGAACGAUGAACCAGGGCUUGCCCUGGGAAUUAGUGGCGAACGGGUGAGUAACACGUGGGCAACCUGCCCCAGACACCGGGAUAACCAUCCGAAAGGAUGGCUAAUACCGGAUAUGACCACUUUGGGCAUCCAACGGUGGUGGAAAGGAUUCUGGUCUGGGAUGGGCCCGCGGCCUAUCAGCUAGUUGGUGGGGUAAUGGCCUACCAAGGCGACGACGGGUAGCCGGCCUGAGAGGGCGACCGGCCACACUGGGACUGAGACACGGCCCAGACUCCUACGGGAGGCAGCAGUGGGGAAUAUUGCGCAAUGGGCGAAAGACUGACGCAGCGACG